GCAGAGCAUCCUACGGGAGGCAGCAGUGGGGAAUAUUGCACAAUGGGCGCAAGCCUGAUGCAGCCAUGCCGCGUGUAUGAAGAAGGCCUUCGGGUUGUAAAGUACUUUCAGCAGUGAGGAAGUGGGUAUGUUAAUAGCAUAUUCAUUUGACGUUAGCUGCAGAAGAAGCACCGGCUAACUCCGUGCCAGCAGCCGCGGUAAUACGGAGGGUGCGAGCGUUAAUCGGAAUUACUGGGCGUAAAGCGCAUGCAGGUGGUUUGUUAAGUCAGAUGUGAAAGCCCGGGGCUCAACCUCGGAAUUGCAUUUGAAACUGGCAAACUAGAGUACUGUAGAGGGGGUAGAAUUUCAGGUGUAGCGGUGAAAUGCGUAGAGAUCUGAAGGAAUACCGGUGGCGAAGGCGGCCCCCUGGACAGAUACUGACACUCAGAUGCGAAAGCGUGGGGAGCAAACAGGAUUAGAAACCCUGGUAG
rnacentral:rRNA from 1 species